rnacentral:lncRNA from 1 species
UGAAUCUUGAUUAUGUUUUGAGAAUGUUUUUGCAGAAAUAAUUCAAGACUUCAAGACUCCAUGUCGUCUAAGUCAUAGAGUCUGUAUUAAGGUUAUGAAAAUUGUAAUUUUCGUUUAUUGGAUCGAUCAUGCAGGAGAUUAUCGUUUGGUGAUUGCGAUGAUCUUCUUUUUAUGACUUUUUGGUUGUAUACAAGCUUUGUAGUAUAUUUUGUCACGAAAUCGCCAAAGGGGGAGAUUGUUAAGGAUUUUAUAGGUUGGCGAAUUUCGUAAAGUUGUUUGG